AUUUAAAUAGUUUAUUAAAAAUUUUGAUUUGUGGUGUCAAAGAUAUAGAUUUCUAUUUUAAAUA
rnacentral:tRNA from 1 species